AAAGUUGGUAGGCGGAACCUAACGCCUGAUUGGUUACCCUCUGCAUCAAGCCAAGACAAAUCAAUUCCGGAUAAUGGAUUGAUGCAGAGCUACUGAACACAUUCCAAUACACUGGGUGGCGCUAUUCACCUCUACGUUGGUUUAGUUACACGGUUAAACAGAACUUUCAUUGCAACGGCUAAAAAUCAAGAGAAGACUCGGUCCUGCUAGCCCCAAUGUUGAGACGCUGUGUGAGGUGCAUGACAAAAUGUCUAAAAGUUGCCCGGAGCUGCUGAGAGAAGCAGCGAAUUUGAUUGAGGAAGCUCUGAGCAGAAGUCCAACGGCUCCCGCGGCACCGGUGACUCCGGCAGCUCAGUCACAGCAGAUACCGGCCGCUCAAUCACGUACACCUGUCCAAGCGGAGGUAGCAAGGCUCUUUGCGCCAUAUAACAUUGGAGCCAGAAGGAAUAUGACGAGACGACCAGCACAAGUCCAAGUUAGCCGAAGAAGCUACACACACACUGUCUGUUGUUUGGCUGACCACAAUGCGGAUAAAAUUCCAAGCGUACUGUUUAAAGCUGAACUUCUUACUUCAGGACUUGGAGAGCAAAAAGUAACAUUUUCAGGAGAGCUCACGUCCUGCCUCUGGUCCAGUCAUCCCCUGCAUCACUUGUCAGAAGGAAGUUCCCUUUUCAGAGAUGAAGCUGCACAGAUUGAGCUGCAAUGGGACACCCAUGCAGGAAUCAGAAAGAGAACAAGAGGGAGGCCAAAGUGAAGAAAAUGAUAGUGAGACAGCCCUAGUCAGUGACAGUGUUCCAGUGAGGCCUGAAACAUCAGCUGAGAGUGCAGUAGUACCGGCAGUGAUUGUCAACGAGGAGUUGGAUCGCAAAGAAACAGACAGUGGUUUGUGUCAUCACAAUAGUGUUGCUAUAAGAUUGUG